CUCGCGCCGCUGGAUAUUAAACCUGCCGGCCGGUAGCUUUCGGCUCCCCUGCGGAAACCGCCAUUUUUUUUUUAUUUUAGCAGUUAAACAGCUCGCAAAUUAAAAUCUCCAGAUCCCUGUACUGAAAGACUAGCUUUUCUUUUUUUUUUAAUUUUUUUUUUUUUUUUUUUGAGAUGGAGUCUUGCUCUUGUCGCCCAGGCUGGAGUGCAAUGGCACGAUGUCGGCUCACUGCAACCUCCGCCUCCCGGGUUCAAGCGAUUCUCCUGCCUCAGCCUCCCGAGUAGCUGGGAUUACAGGCACCCGCCACCACGCCCAGCUAUUUUUAGUAGAGACGGGGUUUCGCCGUGUUGGCCAGGCUGGUCUCGAACUCCUGACCUCGCUGUCCGCCCGCCUCGGCCUCCCAAAGUGCUGGGAUUACAGGCAUGAGCCACCACACCCGGCCAUGACUAGAUUUUCAAAGGCUAUUGGUAUCAGGAGUGUCUUAUGAAAGAUAAGUUUAACCUGAGAUACUAGAUGCAAUAAUUACAUCCUAAGAAAGAUAGUGGCGCAUUGUAACAUGACGUUCAAAGCGAGCCUAUAGCA
rnacentral:lncRNA from 1 species